CUUGCACACUGUUAAAGCUUGAUGCUGAGGUCAGUUUCUGGCCGGUGAGCUCUCAAGUGUCGGAGGUGUGCGACAGCAAUGGAUGGCAGGGUUUUUGCUAAUGCCAGGAGAGGGCUCCCUCUAGGGUUGGAGUUCGAUGGUAGGGCCCUGCCACAUGC